rnacentral:rRNA from 1 species
GUAACGCGUGGGAAUCUACCUACUACUGGAGGAUAACUCGGGGAAACUCGAGCUAAUACUGCAUACGCCCUACGGGGGAAAGCGGGGGAUCUUCGGACCUCGUGCUAUUGGAUGAGCCCGCGUUAGAUUAGCUUGUUGGUGAGAUAAUGGCUCACCAAGGCGACGAUCUAUAACUGGUCUGAGAGGAUGAUCGACCACCUUGGGACUGAGACACGGCCCAAACUCCUACCGGAGGCAGCAGUGGGGAAUAUUGCACAAUGGGCGAAAGCCUGACGCAUCCAUGCCGCGUGUGUGAGGAAGGCCUUCGGGUUGUAAAGCACUUUCAAUAUGGAGGAAAGGUUGUAACUUAAUACUUUGCAACUGUGACGUUACCUAUAGAAUAAGGACCGGCUAACUCCGUGCCACCAGCCGCGGUAAUACGGAGGGUCCGAGCGUUAAUCGGAAUUACUGGGCGUAAAGCGCGCGUAGGCGGCUUCUUCAGUCAUAUGUGAAAGCCCCGGGCUCAACCUGCGAACUGCAUUUGAUACUGCAGAGCUAGAGUAUGGUAGAG